CACGUAGGGGGCGAGCGUUGUCCGGAUUUAUUGGGCGUAAAGAGCUCGUAGGCGGCUCAGUAAGUCAGGUGUGAAAACUCCAGGCUCAACCUGGAGACGCCACUUGAUACUGCUGUGGCUAGAGUCCGGUAGGGGAGCAUGGAAUUCCUGGUGUAGCGGUGAAAUGCGCAGAUAUCAGGAGGAACACCAAUGGCGAAGGCAGCUCGCUGGAACGGUACUGACGCUGAGGCGCGAAAGCGUGGGGAGCGAACAGG
rnacentral:rRNA from 1 species